CCCUUGUAGGAGUUGUUGCUAAAUCCCUUUCGCACCUCAAGCUAAAGUUACUGAAUCGCUAUCCUCAACUGAGUCACACCUCAAGUCAAAGCUACGGAUCAGAGUCAUCGCCAUCCUCAACUAAGUCGCACCUCAACCGAGUCAUCAGCGGAGUCAUUUCAAGAUAAAGUUGUCACGUUGCACAUCUUUAUCCGCAUCUCAACCAAAAGAUAAAGUUCAGUGAAUUAGUUGCAAGACACAUAUGGGAGGAAGAAAGUGAUUAUAUUGGAAGCUGAGACAGGAGAUUAUCUUGGAAAACGCAGAGGUUUUUGGUUUUACACUAUUGGCCAACGACAAGGUUUACGAAUUCCCGGAGGACCCUAGUAUAAUCUCUCUCCAUAGCU